GCGGACGUGGCGGAACUAGCAGACGCGCCGGCCCGAGGAGCCGUCGGGCGCAAGCCCAUGAGGGUGCAACUCCCUCCGCCCGCACCA
rnacentral:tRNA from 1 species